UGACAGCCAGUGAGAGCCAGGUGGAAGAACUGAAGAAAGAAAAGACCACCUUGGAGGCCAGAGUGACAGCCAGGCGGAAGAACUGAAGAAAUAGAAGACCACCUGGGAGGCCAGAGUGACAGGCAGGUGGAAGAGCUGAAGAAAUAAAAGACCACCUGGAGGCCAGAGUGACAGCCAGUGAGAGCCAGGUGGAAGACCUGAAGAAAGAAAAGACCACCUGGGAGGCCAGAGUGACAGCCAGUGAGAGCCAGGUGGAAGAACUGAAGAAA